rnacentral:rRNA from 1 species
AGUGAACGCUGGCGGCGUGCCUAACACAUGCAAGUCGAACGGACGAUGAGAGCUUGCUCUCAAAGUUAGUGGCGCACGGGUGAGUAACACGUAGCUAAUCUGCCCUAUACUGGGGGACAACAGUUGGAAACGACUGCUAAUACCCCAUACUCCGGUAUUACUUAAGUAGUAUCGGGAAAGUUUUUCGGUAUAGGAUGAGGCUGCGGUCUAUCAGCUUGUUGGUGAGGUAAUGGCUCACCAAGGCUAUGACGGAUAGCUGGUCUGAGAGGAUGAUCAGCCACACUGGAACUGAGACACGGUCCAGACUCCUACGGGAGGCAGCAGUGGGGAAUUUUACACAAUGGGCGAAAGCCUGAUGUAGCAACGCCGCGUGGAGGAUGAAGGAUUUAGGUCUGUAAACUCCUUUUAUAGGGGAAGAAAUUUGACGGUACCCUAUGAAUAAGCACCGGCUAACUCCGUGCCAGCAGCCGCGGUAAUACGGGGGGUGCAAGCGUUACUCGGAAUCACUGGGCGUAAAGGGAGCGUAGGCGUUCUAUUAAGUCUUGAGUGAAAGCCCGCAGCCUAACUGCGGAACUGCUCAGGAAACUGAUAGAAUUGAGUAUGGAAGAGGUCAGUGGAAUUUCCAGUGUAGGGGUAAAAUCCGUAGAUAUUGGAAGGAAUACCAGAAGCGAACGCGACUGACUGGGACAUUACUGACGCUGAGGCUCGAAAGCGUGGGGAGCGAACA